CUCCGUCCUCCGUUACUACGGACCUGGCCGUCUUCUCCCUCCUCCAUUACUGCGCACAGAGGCUGCUUCAUGCCAGCUUCCCCCUCCUCCAUUAUUGCGGACAGAUCAGGCUGCUUCUUGCCAGCUUCCCCCUCCUCCAUUAUUGCGGACAGAGCUGCUUCUUGCCAUCUUCUUCCUCCUAGAUCUCCUCUUCACCCCUAUAGAAAAGGAUGUCCCCUAUCCGAUCUUUUCCCUACAUCAGCUCGACUGAUGAAUAGAUGAUCCGUCACCCAAGCUCUGUGUGCAAAUUGAAACCAGGGAUUCGCCAAGGGACUCCCGCAAGACGGACAGAUGAAUAGAUGAUCUGUCCCCUAUCCGGUCUUCUCCAUACAUCAGGCUCAAGCUAGCCAGGGUACCCCGGCGUGUAGCUGCAAAUGGAUCGUCGUUCUAGUGGUAUUACACCAAGGGACCUGGAGUGCAUGCUAUGUGAUGAAACGGCAGAGCCCAAGGCUCUGCCACUGUCGCUCCUGGAAGAAAUCACAGGUGAUUUCUCUGAUGAGCAGGAAAUUGGUAGAGGUGGAUUUGCGGUGGUUUAUAAGGGAAAGCUUGAGAACAGGACUGUGGCCGUGAAGAGGAUGUCCAAUACGUAUAUGUACGAGAAGGAGUUCCAGCGAGAAGUUGAAUGUCUCAUGAUGGUCAAGCACAAAAAUGUAGUACGGUUUCUGGGAUAUUGUGCUGACACACAAGGGAGUAUGGAGAAGUACGAUGGAAAAUUCGUCAUGGCAGAUGUACAACAAAGGUUGCUCUGCUUCGAGUAUCUUCCUAAAGGGAGUCUGCAUGAGUAUAUCACUGAUACAUCUAGCGGACUUCCGUGGAGAGACAGAUAUCGUAUUAUUGAAGGAAUUUGUCAGGGAUUACACUAUCUUCAUCAGAAAAAUAUUGUCCACUUAGAUCUAAAGCCGGCAAAUAUAUUGUUGGAUGAUAAUUUGGUGGCAAAAAUUGCUGAUUUCGGUCUAUCGAGGUGCUUUGGUGAAAUGCAAAGCCAGGUUAUUACCGAGAACAUAGCCGGAACAUUGGGAUAUUUGGCACCAGAAUUUGGUAACGGUGUAAUCACGUACCAGUUUGAUAUCUACAGUCUCGGUGUAAUAAUCAUAGAGAUACUGACUGGAAAGAAGGGGUACCACGCUGUUGACAAUGUUGUUGGAAGUUGGAGUAACGUGAUGGGGAAAUCACAGAGCAAUGUACAGCUGGAACAGGUUCGAGUAUGUGCUGAGAUAGGAAUAGAGUGCACCAACUUCAACCCGGCGAAGAGACCAGAUACGCAAUAUGUAAUCAAUAGACUUGCUGAAACAGAAACCAUUGACGGAUAUAUCGAAACUGGUGUGAUUACUUCACAUCAGGUACGAUCACUCUCACACCAGGCCGAACAUGCUCCAAAUGGACUUCGUCAAGAUACGCCUAACACGCCAGGAGCGGCAAGCUCGGAGGAGAAUGUCACUGCAGUUACAGUGGCAGAGACAACCCCAUAUAACAGUUUUUGGAAAAAUACUGCAAAGCUUGACAUGUUGAAUGCAAAGGUUCACAAAUUGAAUGAGACGAUGCGUUCUAUUUGGUCUAUAUAUCAGCGGCUUAAUCCAGACAUCAGGCGAUGCUUAGAAUACUGCAGUAUUUUCCCCAGAAGAUGCAAGUUGAGAAGGAAUCAGUUAGUUGCUUUGUGGAUGGCGCAAGGGUUUGUAAAGACGAGUUGUGCAACAGAGGACAUGGAAGAUGUGGCUGAGGGCUACAUUCAAGAGUUAGUGUCAUGCUCAUUUCUACAACCAGAACAAACUUGGGAUAAGAUUGGUUGUUUCACAAUUCAUGAUGUGGUGCAUGGUUUAUUAGACAAGGUCGCUCGAAAUUGCUUCAGAAUCGAAAAUGCAGGUAGCCAAGGAGGAGAAGGAUGGAACGGAGAUGUCCCUCGAGAUGUCCAGCAUCUCUUUGUUGAGAAAUAUGAUACAAAGUUGAUUACCGGGAAGGUCCUUGGAUUGGAAAAUUUGUGUACUCUCAUUGUUUAUGGUGUUGAAGAGGAUACACUAGUUGAGGAAAGAGUGAUUGAGAGUAUAUGCAAGAGGCUGCUGAAAUUGCGGGUGCUUGCGAUUGCUUUCAGCCAGGAACCUGUUGCAAUCAAGAUCAACGUAUGCAACAAGUUCUCGGUCCCAGAAUCCAUUAGUCAGCUAAAGCGCCUACGCUAUCUUGCUUUUAGGAUAAGCGACUAUGGCUAUCCGAAGGUAAUUUUACCAAGCACAAUACGUAAACUUCAGCAUAUCCAGCUCCUAGAUUUUGGCGAUGGCUAUGUUAAGGAGUUUAACUUUGGUGUUCAUGUCCACUUGCGGUACAUAAUGUCUCGGUUCUACAAUAAGCAACUUCCUAACAUAGGCGGGCUUAUAUCACUCCACACUCUAAGAGACUUCGAAGUAAGCAACCUACAAGAAGGUUAUGAUAUAAAACAGCUGAGGGACCUAAACAAGCUUCGUGGCUACCUGCACAUCAAGGGCCUUGAAAAUGUUAGAAGCAAGGAGGAAGCUCUUGAAGCCAAUCUAGCUGCCAAGGAACGGCUCACUGAAUUGGAACUGCGGUGGAGUCGUAAUGCUUCCAAUAGGUGCAGUCGAGAAGUUGACGCAGAGGUACUUGAGGGCCUGUGCCCUCCCCUAGGACUUAAAAAACUGGAAAUAUGGAACUAUCAAGGUACGAGGUACCCAGAUUGGAUGGUGGGUAAGCAGUACGGCUGCUUGCAAGAACUUGUGUUGUGGGAUUGGGGACAACUGGGGCCUGCUCCUCAGCUUGUUGAGUCUUUCCCACAUCUUCAUGUGCUAAAGCUUUGGAACUGCAGCUGGGACGCCUUACCAGGAAACAUGGAGCACCUCACAUCACUCAGGGAACUGGUGGUUAGUUCAUGCCCGAAUGUCCGGUCGCUUCCAACACUGCCCCAGUCUCUCGAGGGGCUUCGUCUAGCAUACUUGGAUGAUGAGUUCAUGGAGUCCUGCCAAACAGUCGGACAUCCAAACUGGCAAAAGAUUGAGCACGUUUGUAAAAAAAUAUUUACCUGAGCCAACAAGAAGGCAAUGAAGGACGUCGGACAGUUAUGUGCUGUGCGGUGAAAAAUACAGUUUGUUCAAAUGCAAGGGAAGCAAACUAGGAGGCGAACAUGGCUACACUGCCAUUCAGGCAUAACAAAUGGGGAUCAUCAUCAGCCAAAAUACAAUUCAAAUGGAAAUCGGCAUGUGCUAGCGCCAGCUGGGUGAGCUUUACCAAAGAAGCAGAGAAGACGGAUAAUAGAGACAAUGCAAUGAUCAAAUGGGCUAGAAGCAGUCCAAAGUGAGGAAGGGUUUCAACUUGAAAGGACUAAUUUAGGAAAAAGAAGUCGAUUACAGCCGUGCAGGAAGACUCAUCCCAGCUUCUCGCUGGAGUACUUCUUGUACACCACUUUCAGCUUGCUCUUAUGGCAGUCAGGUGUGAGCCCAGGUUGUUUGAACAACACAGAGAUACAAAAUUAAUUAAAAAAAGCCAUGAAUGCCAUCUCAAUAUCCUCUCUAUCUCUCUCUCGGCUGGGUCGGAAAGACGGGACAAGCUGCAAAUAUACAAGGUGGGAGAAGGGCCGGUUCGUACCAUCAGGAGAAGAAGCAGGCGCUAAGCCUCUGUCGCCGCUGGUAGCCCACCGGAGUAUCCCCUCUUCGCCGCCCCGCAGGCCCUCGCCCGCCGCAGGCCGCCCGCGCUCCGCAGCCGCUCGCCCCCCAAUCCCAUCUUCUUCCCUUGAUGUGCCGCAGUGGAAGAGCCGAGCGCAGAUCGAGGGAAGUGAGCCGGCGGCGCAGAUCGGGAGAGGGAGACAGGAAGGGUUUCAUCACGACUUCACGAGCCAAAUAGAGGAAUGAGCGUUGUAUGGGGAGUUGUGGGCGCAGUGCAUGGAAUAUUCCUCUGUGGACGGAGUAAUGGUCAGCCAUUGGGAAUUGCUAACUCCACCCCAAAACGCUAUUGACUGUUAGAUUAAGAUUUGUGGGCCUAAUUGUGCGGUACGGAUUGGUUUGUGUAGUGUUGUGGGUCUAAUUGCGGGGUACACAUAAGAACAUUCUUAUUCGAUUGUUUGAUAGUAGUGUAGAAGUGUAGAUUACCUACAUAUAAAUUACAUAUAUGUACAGACGAAUGUAUUCGACGAGUAUUUACAUAACUUGCAUAAAUACGACCUUAUGAAGGAUCAAUCAUACCACUCCGCAAUGUCAAAUCCAAAAUUGCAUGCCUCUGCACGUAACAGUUGUAGCUCGAAAUGAAUCCCAAAUUUCAACAAGACAUUACCACUAUGGAAGAAAAAGACAAGAUAUUUGAAGGAUCAGUAAUCAGCCGGGGUAUGUAUUCACACACAAAAAAAGUAAUCAACCGCUUACGUGCAAUAGUACAUAGAAGUACACUGAGGAGAUACAGAACAAAACACUUAUUUCUAUGUUUUAUCGUGUGCCAACGUAAACCGAACGAUCGGGAAAUAGCAUCAUCCAGUCUAAAUGCGUGUUUGUCUUGUGUCAUGCAUGCUUCAAAUAUGUUGCUAGUGUAUGCAAUAAUUACAUGAGCUAAGCUAAUCUGUACUGAAGGUAAAUCAUGUCAAGUAAUACCACGAAACAUUCCAAAGCAUCGUGUCCGCAUUGCUAAUGUGUACUGAAGGUAAAACAUGGUAAUUGACUAGAGAAUUAUUAAACACGUAAGUAG